GAUGAACGCUGGCGGCGUGCCUAAUACAUGCAAGUCGAGCGAACAGACGAGGAGCUUGCUCCUCUGACGUUAGCGGCGGACGGGUGAGUAACACGUGGAUAACCUACCUAUAAGACUGGGAUAACUUCGGGAAACCGGAGCUAAUACCGGAUAAUAUAUUGAACCGCAUGGUUCAAUUGUGAAAGACGGUUUUGCUGUCACUUAUAGAUGGAUCCGCGCCGCAUUAGCUAGUUGGUAAGGUAACGGCUUACCAAGGCAACGAUGCGUAGCCGACCUGAGAGGGUGAUCGGCCACACUGGAACUGAGACACGGUCCAGACUCCUACGGGAGGCAGCAGUAGGGAAUCUUCCGCAAUGGGCGAAAGCCUGACGGAGCAACGCCGCGUGAGUGAUGAAGGUCUUCGGAUCGUAAAACUCUGUUAUUAGGGAAGAACAAAUGUGUAAGUAACUAUGCAUGUCUUGACGGUACCUAAUCAGAAAGCCACGGCUAACUACGUG
rnacentral:rRNA from 1 species